AUGGCGCCGAAGGCCAAGAAGGAAGCUCCUGGCACACGUCCUGCUCCUGCCCCUCCUAAAGCCGAAGCCAAAGCAAAGGCAUUGAAGGCCAAGAAAGCAGUGCUGAAAGGCGUCCACAGCCACAAGAAAAAGAAGAUCCGCACGUCACCCACUUUCCGGAGGCCCAAGACUCUGCGGCUCCGGAGGCAGCCCAAAUAUCCUCGGAAGAGCGCUCCCAGGAGAAACAAGCUUGACCAUUAUGCCAUCAUCAAGUUUCCCCUAACCACUGAGUCUGCCAUGAAGAAAAUAGAAGACAACAACACGCUCGUGUUCAUCGUGGAUGUUAAAGCCAACAAGCACCAG